AAUUAAAACCGUUCCCAGGUGUCUGAAACAUCCUGAACAUGAUUCGGAGUCACGAUUAAAAGUGAAGAAAUGGAUAGUAGAAACUUUGCUUCGUUUUUGGCUUCUACGGAAGAGCCGAAUGAUGCUCGUUCGCCUCGGGAUUUUUCUGGCUGUCAGCUUAUUGACGUUUACUGUCAAAGUAAACGCGUAAUAAAACGGCAACUUUGACUUCCAAAGAACAAGGGGCAUCUGUACAUCUGACAUUUACAGAGGAGAUUAAGAAAAACAGUGAAAGCGCCAGCUGCAUCGUGAAUAGUAAACAUUCAUCAGUGCCACGUUCGAUUAGGAUAAAAAGCUUUCAAGCUCUUGAGAAUAAAGAGGCACUUCCUCACGUCUGAUGUGUUGUAUUACCCCACUCUUUUUUUUUUUUUUAAUCAAUACCAGGUCUCGCACUAAAGCCUUUUAUUAUUCAUCUGCAAAGAAAAAAAACUAAAUAGCACUAAAGGUGUUGUCUGUGCUCCAAUUGGUCUUGAGUCAAUACGGCAGUGAAAGGCACACGAGUCAUCUCGAGGGGGAAGAAAAAUAAAGUGAAAGGCCCGCGGCUGUUUUCCGACGGGAGCGUCGCAGAGGCAAAAGCAUUUGCAUGCGAGGUAUCAACAGGGAAGGUGGGGGACGAGGAUGCAAAUAAUAAGUUCAGCGAGUUCGACUGAACAAGCUGCUUGGCUGAUUAGUCGCUCAUCAAAAUGGAAUUUUCCGUUUUGAUGUUGGACCCCGACGCCAAGAUACAGGUUUCUGCACUGCUGUUAUGACCAUGUGAACAAGCCCCUCAUUGGAUUUCAAGAAACACCUCCAAGGUCUCCUGAUGUAAGACGCUUGUGAAAUGGGCCUGGCUUGUAAGCUUUCACAAGCACUUUCCACAAAACAGAUAAGCGUGUUUACGACGCUCGGGAUCAACCGUGGCGGAGGGAGGAGGGUCAGUGAAUGUAAUGCAAGACGGAGAGACGACGUGCGCAUCUCGUGGAGCCUCGCACGAUAUCUUCAGGUGUUGAGCGAGUUGCUAUGGCGCAUAAAACAAACACUCAGUGCACGCCAUGACACACCUCCAUGCGACGGAGCGUCACAAAAACAAAGUCAU